UUUCCGUAGGUGAACCUGCGGAAGGAUCAUUAGUGAACGCCCUCACGGCCUUAUCCCUCUUCCAAACCUCUGUGAACCGUGCCCUUCGAGGUUAUUUUACAACCGUGGUGUAAUGCGCGUCAUAUAUCAUAACAAAACAAAACUUUCAACAACGGAUCUCUUGGCUCUG
rnacentral:misc_RNA from 1 species